rnacentral:rRNA from 1 species
UCCUCCACCCUUUGAUCGAUAUCAAAUAUUUAACGAGCUUCGGCGGAGCGAUUGAAUCCGAUUGAUCGGACGACAUCACAGAUUUCCAUGAUGGAAACCUAGCAGUAUCCGCCGUUUGCACAAAAUCCAAUACAAUUUGUUUAGUCUGAAGCAAAAAUGAAAAUAAUCAAAACUUUCAACAACGGAUCUCUUGGUUCUGGCAUCGAUGAAGAACGCAGCGAAAUGCGAUAAGUAAUGUGAAUUGCAGAAUUUAGUGAAUCAUCGAAUCUUUGAACGCACAUUGCGCCUCAGGGUAUUCCUUGAGGCAUGCCUGUUCGAGCGUCGUUUACACUGUAAAGCUUUGCUUUGUGAUGGAUUUAUCAGUCAGUGAUACUUCCCAAAACGAUUGGCGUUCGAAUUCGACCUUAAGACGCAACAACUUGUGUUGAUAGGGCGAUAUCGAGUAGUCUUCUUCUAUAUACGGAUUCUUCGGAAUCGUUGAGUCGACCUCGGAUCAGGCAAGAUUACCCGCUGAACUUAAGCAUAUCAAUAAAGCGGAGGGAAAAGAAMCMAMCAGGGAUUGCCUUAGUAACGGCGAGUGAAGCCGGCAUCAGCUCAAAUUUGAAAAUCUGGCCUCUGGUCCGAAUUGUAAUUUGUAGAGGAUGGUUCGGCGUCGUCCAGGCCCAAGUCUUCUGGAAGGAAGCGCCAUUGAGGGUGAGAGCCCCGUAUGGUCCAGGACCUAGCCAUGUGAACCUCCUUCGACGAGUCGAGUUGUUUGGGAAUGCAGCUCAAAACGGGUGGUAAAUUCCAUCUAAAGCUAAAUAUUGGCCAGAGACCGAUAGCGCACAAGUAGAGUGAUCGAAAGAUGAAAAGCACUUUGGAAAGAGAGUGAAACAGUACGUGAAAUUGUUGAAAGGGAAGCGCUCGCGACCAGACUUUUUCGGAUGAUUCAGGGACUCUUUUGGGUUCUGCACUUUUGUUCGAAAAGGCCAGCAUCAGUUCGGGUGGUUGGAUAAAAGCANCUGGGAAUGUGGCUCCUGCGGAGUGUUAUAGCCCUAUGCAGAAUACGAUCAAUCCUGGACUGA